CUCAGAACGAAUGCUGGCGGCGCGUCUUAAGCAUGCAAGUCGAACGGUAGUAGAGUGCUUGCACUCUAUGAGAGUGGCGAACGGGUGAGUAACACGUAGGUGAUCUAUCUUGAGGUCUGGGAUAGCUUGUGGAAACACAGGGUAAUACUGGAUGCGACCUGUGUAUUGAGGUACAUGGGGGAAAGCCGCUUAGGCGGUGCUUUAAGCUGAGCCUGCGUCUCAUUAGUUAGUUGGUGGGGUAAUGGCUUACCAAGGCGACGAUGAGUAUCCGGCCUGAGAGGGUGAUCGGCCACACUGGGACUGAGACACGGCCCAGACUCCUACCGGGAGGCAGCAGCUAAGAAUCUUCCGCAAUGGGGGGAACCCUGACGGAGCGACGCCGCGUGGACGAGGAAGGCCGGAAGGUUGUCAAGUCCUUUUCCUGGGGGAGACUAAGGUAUGGAGGGAAUGCCAUACAGAUGACGUGAACCAGGGAAUAAGCCCCGGCUAAUUACGUGCCAGCAGCCGCGGUAACACGUAAGGCGCGAGCGUUGUACGGAUUCAUUGGGCGUAAAGGGCGUGUAGGCGGUGAGAUAAGUCUGGUGUGACAGAUCCCGGCUCAACCGGGAGAGCGCGCUGGAAACUGUCUUACUUGAGUGAUGGACGGGGAGCUGGAAUUCCUGGUGUAGGGGUGACAUCUUGUAGAGAUCAGGGAAGAACACCGGAGGCGAAGGCCGAGCUCCUGGCCAUUUACUGACGCUGAGGCGCGAAAG
rnacentral:rRNA from 1 species